UACGAAGGGGGCUAGCGUUGUUCGGAAUCACUGGGCGUAAAGGGCGCGUAGGCGGCUGUUCAAGUCGGGGGUGAAAUCCUGUGGCUCAACCACAGAAUGGCCUUCGAUACUGGACGGCUGGAGACCGGAAGAGGUGAGUGGAACUGCGAGUGUAGAGGUGAAAUUCGUAGAUAUUCGCAAGAACACCAGUGGCGAAGGCGGCUCACUGGUCCGGUUCUGACGCUGAGGCGCGAAAGCGUGGGGAGCAAACAGG
rnacentral:rRNA from 1 species